rnacentral:rRNA from 1 species
CACGUAGGGGGCGAGCGUUGUCCGGAUUUAUUGGGCGUAAAGAGCGUGUAGGCGGCCGUACAGGUCAGCUGUGAAAACUCGAGGCUCAACCUCGAGACGUCGGUUGAAACCGUACGGCUAGAGUCCGGAAGAGGAGAGUGGAAUUCCCGGUGUAGCGGUGAAAUGCGCAGAUAUCGGGAAGAACACCCGUGGCGAAGGCGGUUGCCUGGAGCUUUGCUGACGCUGAGGCGCGAAAGCGUGGGGAGCGAACAGG